UUUCCGUAGGUGAACCUGCGGAAGGAUCAUUAAAGAAUUUGCCCCGUCCUCUCGAGGAUGGGUCCUCUUCUAAACCGUGUAUACAUACCUUUGUUGCUUUGGCGGGCCGCCGUCUCGGCGUUGGCUUCGGCUGGCUGUGCCCGCCAGAGAACCCCAACUCUUCUGUUUAGUAUUGUCUGAGUACUAUAUAAUAGUUAAAACUUUCAACAACGGAUCUCUUGGUUCUG
rnacentral:misc_RNA from 1 species